CAAUCCGUGUGUGUGUUGCAUGGGCUAGCCAGCUAGUUGGGUACGUCCGCGCGGUGGGGAUCAUGGCCUGGAUGUGCGCGUGAGUGUGCCUCGUAUUCCAUCUCGUAGGAUCAGGUAGUUGGUUGGUUGCAAAGGAGCCGGGGCGAUCCGAGCAGGCCGUGGCAUGCGUUUGAGCGCGGCCGGUGUGACAUGCGGAUCGCGUGCGUAGCUGGGCGAGAUAGGCAGUAGUGGUCGGUGCGUGCGUGGUAGCUAGCCUGGUGUGUGCGUCCGGGUAUAAAAAGCCCUUCCAUGUACUGAUUAAGUGCGCCGGAAGAGCCAGCGAUGUAGCCAUUGAAAAGAUAAAGAAGAUUAAGGCGUGUGUGCGCCCACGGCGGCGUUCGUGCGCCGGCCCGAAAUUUCUUGUGUCUUGUGUCUUCUUCUACCUCUAGUCGAGCGUGAGAGAGGGCUACGGUUCCAACAAUUGGUAUCAUGAGCUUGGUGUCUUGGGCGUGCUUGCCGUGCCAGAGGAGUGGCAGCGAUGGCGGCGCUCGCCGGCGGCUGCACGUCGGAGCUCCGGGCUGUGUGUCGGCCCAUGAACGUGGUCGGCGCUGUGGCUGUCAUGGCGCGUGGCGGAGGCGGCGGGCGGUGACGUCGUACGUGCGGCGACCGCGGAGGCCGCCGAGGCGCUGCGUGGUGGCGCGGCGGCGCAACACGGUGUGGAGGCCUGGAGGCACUGCAUGGCGGCAUGGAGGCCGUGGCGGUGCAGGGCAAUAAGACGCGGCGGCGAGCCGGGCGCGACCGGUGCGUGUUAUGGGUGCGCACUGAACGCGUCGAGCGCGUCGGGACCACGGGCGCGCGUACGAGCGUGCGGUUGACGUUGGGAGGAGGCGUAUAUCGCCGUGGUGCUCGAUUCCGUGCUCGAGUUCGGCUACGUCCUUCCGGCGUUUUCGCUGGCGGCUGCCAUGGCGGACGCGGAGGCGGCACGCGGUGAGCGUCUGGUGCUGUCGGGCUCGUCGGGCGCAUCGGAUGCGCACGGGACAUGCGGGACGCACUGGUGCGGUCGGGCUCGUCGGGCACGUCGGAUGUGUGCGGGACGUGCGGGGCGCAGAGGGACGCCAGGCGUGUCGCCGGCGGAGAAGGAGCUCGGCGUGUGUCGCCGGAGUCGUGACGGAGCACCGUGCGAUCGGCGUCGGUGCGUUAGGUCAGGUCUACGGGCUGAGUCACGGUUGUGGCGACAUCGAUGACGAGAGCUGCAACAACUCCGACGACGAUGUGAUGGUUUAGGGGGAGUAUGUUAGAAGUAAACCACGAGUGCCUGCAUGCGCGUCGUGUGGCAAUCCGUGUGUGUGUUGCAUGGGCUAGCCAGCUAGUUGGGUACGUCCGUGCGGUGGGGAUCAUGGCCUGGAUGUGCGCGUGAGUGUGCCUCGUAUUCCAUCUCGUAGGAUCAGGUAGUUGGUUGGUUGCAAAGGAGCCGGGGCGAUCCGAGCAGGCCGUGGCAUGCGUUUGAGCGCGGCCGGUGUGGCAUGCGGAUCGCGUGCGUAGCUGGGCGAGAUAGGCAGUAGUGGUCGGUGCGUGCGUGGUAGCUAGCCUGGUGUGUGCGUCCGGGUAUAAAAAGCCCUUCCAUGUAUUGAUUAAGUGUGCCGGAAGAGCCAGCGAUGUAGCCAUUGAAAAGAUAAAGAAGAUUAAGGCGUGUGUGCGCCCACGGCGG
rnacentral:lncRNA from 1 species